rnacentral:rRNA from 1 species
UGGGGAAUAUUGGACAAUGGGCGAAAGCCUGAUCCAGCCAUGCCGCGUGGGUGAAGAAGGCCCUAGGGUUGUAAACCCCUUUCAGCGGGGAAGAUAAUGACGGUACCCGCAGAAGAAGCCCCGGCUAACUCCGUGCCAGCAGCCGCGGUAAUACGGAGGGGGCUAGCGUUGUUCGGAAUUACUGGGCGUAAAGCGCGCGUAGGCGGACCUGCAAGUCGGGGGUGAAAGCCCGAGGCUCAACCACGGAACUGCCUUCGAUACUGCGGGUCUCGAGUCCGGGAGAGGUGAGUGGAAUUCCUAGUGUAGAGGUGAAAUUCGUAGAUAUUAGGAAGAACACCAGUGGCGAAGGCGGCUCACUGGCCCGGUACUGACGCUGAGGCGCGAAAGCGUGGGGAGCAAACAGG